rnacentral:misc_RNA from 1 species
GAUGAAGAACGCAGCGAAAUGCGAUAAGUAAUGCGAAUUGCAGAAUUCCAGUGAGUCAUCGAAUCUUUGAACGCACAUUGCGCCCUUUGGUAUUCCGAAGGGCAUGCCUGUUCGAGCGUCAUUAUCACCCCUCAAGCCCUCGGCUUGGUGUUGGACGGUUUGGUGGAGGCCCCCUCGGGGGCUCCUGCCCCUCCCAAAGACAAUGACGGCGGCCUCGUUGGACCCCCGGUACACUGAGUUCUUCACGGGACACGUAUCGGACACAUGGGUUUACGGGACACGGUCUGCCUCCCCUCAGGGAGAAUCUUUCUAAGGUUGACCUCGGAUCAGGUAGGGAUACCGGCUGAACUUAAGCAUAUCAAUAAGCGGAGGA